rnacentral:misc_RNA from 1 species
UAAUAUGAGGUGAAGCAGUAAUAUAAUAUGGAAUGGCAGAUGGGUGUGGGGUAUAUUUAUGUAUAGUGUUUUGUCAACUCUUUUUCCAUUCUUUGAUGGGUGGGAAUGGUUUUGCCUUCAUGAAAUCUAUGUUAUUCCACUUUUGGACAAUUGCUCUUGGCUAAGAUGAAAUUGCAGUUAUACGCACUUUUUUUUUUUUUUUUUGAAACAAAAAGG